rnacentral:rRNA from 1 species
CAGCAGCCGCGGUAAUACGUAGGUGGCAAGCGUUGUCCGGAAUUAUUGGGUGUAAAGGGUGUGCAGACGGCUUAUUAAGUCACUUGUUAAAUUCUUCGGCCUAACUGAAGGUCUGCAAGUGAUACUGAUGAGCUAGAGGGUGGAAGAGAGAAGUGGAAUUCUCGGAGUAGCGGUAAAAUGCGUAGAUCUCGAGAGGAACACCAAUGGCGAAGGCAGCUUCUUGGUCCAUUCCUGACGUUCAUACACGAAAGCGUGGGGAGCAAACAGGAUUAGAUACCCGUGUAGUCCCUGUCUCUAUACA